rnacentral:rRNA from 1 species
CUAGUAAUCGCGAAUCAGAAUGUCGCGGUGAAUACGUUCCCGGGCCGUUGUACACACCGCCCGUCACACCAUGAGAGUCGAUAACACCCGAAGCCUGUGAGCUAACCUUUUAGGAGGCAGCAGUCGAAGGUGGGGUUGAUGAUUGGGGUGAAGUCGUAACAAGGUAUC